GUGGGGAAUUUUGGACAAUGGGCGCAAGCCUGAUCCAGCAAUGCCGCGUGUGUGAAGAAGGCCUUCGGGUUGUAAAGCACUUUUGGCAGGAAAGAAAUAGUGCGUGCUAAUACCAUGCGCGAAUGACGGUACCUGCAGAAUAAGCACCGGCUAACUACGUGCCAGCAGCCGCGGUAAUACGUAGGUGGCGAGCGUUAUCCGGAUUUAUUGGGGGUAAAGGGCGUGUAGGCGGGACAGCAAGUCAGAUGUGAAAACCAGAGGCUCAACCUCUGGCCUGCAUUUGAAACUGUUGUUCUUGAGUGUCGGAGAGGUAAUCGGAAUUCCGUGUGUAGCGGUGAAAUGCGUAGAUAUUCGAAGGAACGCCAAUAGCGAAGGCAGCUUGCUGGACGAUUACUGACGCUGAGGCACGAAAGCGUGGGGAGCGAAAAGGAUUAGAAACCCUGGUAGUCC
rnacentral:rRNA from 1 species